AUCCAUCUAACAAGUCCCAAAUAGGACGAAACGCACGUCAUAGAU
rfam:Schistosoma haematobium scaffold416_35, whole genome shotgun sequence.